ensembl:lncRNA
AAUUUGGGCAAUAACAGUUGUAUUGAUGUAUAGCAACUUGAAAUGCUCCCAAAAAUGGCUCCACAGCAUGUAAAAAUAUAAAGAUAAGGUCUGGCGGACUUGGUUCUAUGGUAGGUCUUAAAGGGUUAAAACAAAGGGAAAAUGAUGAAAAAUUAAUUUAGGAAAGAAAUCAAAACAUGAUUCUAUAAAUCUUCGCUCUUCUGUGGUGCGUCAAGUUGACAUCUACCCAUCAAAAACCUGUUGAGAGCAGUGCUCAGUCCACUCAUGAGGCCAUCAUUCAGGAAUGAGCUCACUGACUUAAGCCCCUUUUCUAUUUAGUACCUACUUGGAGUUAGUACCUACUACUGGCCACGACUCAACUUGCCACGAUUAGUUUUCCAUUAUAACCCAGUGUGCAUGCUUGUUGUCAUAACAACGUGUCUGUGCAUCUCACAACGUAAUUAUUAUGCAAUGCAAAUGCUAUAAGAAAGCGAACAUAUACCUGCUGCUUUUUGUCAGACUUGGGGAACACGUGUUGUUUUUUGUAGCCAUUUUCCUCAUUGCCUCAUUUCAAAAAUGGUAGUUUUAAUUUAUGUGAAUGAGACGCUCUCAUGACUCAUCGAGUGACACUACUGACCAGCCAACUGUUGUCAUGCAGUAGGACAACGUCACAUUUUAGUACCUGCUCAGAUCGCUUGGAACCCUGGCCGAGAAGGUACUAAAACAGUACCUGGUACCACGCAUUUUGGCCAAAUGGAAAACCCUGAAAACCGUGCCGUCGUUCCAGGUAGGUGGAAAAGGGCCAUUACAUCGUAAUGAUGACAUCAUCAGCAUCAUCACAAUUUAGAGCAUGCAGAAAAAGUCAGAGAGGCCACUAAACAGAAGACCUCAUCAUACUUGCUUUGGAGGAUCUUUAUGAACUUUUUCAGCUGUUGUGGCAGCAUCCUUCAUCUGAUUGGCCGGCUCAGUCUGACGUAGCACGAGGGAAAAACCUGGAGCGUCACCAAGUGAAAGAGAAACUACAGCAUGCACUGCCAGAAGCACGGUGGUGAUUUCCAAACCAUUUACAGGAAAGCCUCGGCCUUCAGCAACAGCAGCUGUGUGAGUUUAUCACAUUCAUGUCACAUGUCUGUUUGGACCAUGGAACAGAUCCCGAUUCCUAGUGAUCACCGAGACAACCAGAGAAGUGAAGAGUCCCUUUAAACCUGGAGGAGAGGAGCACCAGGGACAGAGCCAAGGUCACCACAGAGAACGGGAUGCUUUCAUAUUCCCGUCCUGGGAGGUUGUACGGGAUGACGAUGCGGUUCCUUCCUGGUGGGCCGUGUUUAGCUGAGAGAGACUCAAAGUGUUCCCACACUCCAUCAUCAUCUCGAAGAGGGCUAACCGUGAUGUUUGGGACCAUCUGUGCUCCAGCUUUCUUCAUAAAAAACUCUGUGCUGAGGCCUCAGUUUUCCUGUAGCGACACCGUACACUAAACCAGAAGUGAUGCAGUUCCAGGGAGAAUACAGGAGCACGUCAGUGAUGGUGGGCAGAGGCAGACUUACUCCAGUUCCUCGUCUCUCUCCAUCUCCUCAGAAGUUUGACUGUCUUUAGCGUUGUCCUUCAGGUGCUUCCUGUGGUUAAAAAUUGACAACAUGUCUUUCAGAUCUCAGCACAUCUGUGAGCACAGCAGACACAGAGGUCAUGACCUCCCACCACCAC